GCUAUGUUCCUCUAGGGUGGCCGGCCUCUUAGAGAGCAAAGAGAGCUUUUGUUCUCAUCUUUUCUCCCAAAAGAAAACCUUAAUGAAGAAAAGGCUAUAAAGUCAUAUUUAUACCUACCUUCAUUGGAGUGGCAAACUUGUAAUAAGUCCAAAACCCACUCCAUUAUCAAUAUGGCCGGCCAUAGGGUGUUAUUGGGUUGUUUGGGCCUUUGUGAAUAUUUAGUCAUUAAGUUGUCAUACAACUUAAGUCAAUGGGCUUGACGUUCAAAGCCCAUUGGGCCUUAAGGCCCAAAACUAACCCUAGGUCUUUUAACGAACUUUAUUCGUUUGAUUAAUUAACAUAUUAAUUAAUCAUUGCCAUAAAUAAUUAAACCAUUUAAUUAUUCUUACUCAUCUCCGUUGUUUCUUCAAUCUUUACCUUACAUGGUGCACGAUCCAUUAGGUUCAUUUUAGCGAGGCAGUGGCCGAUUAGAACUCUUUCAAAUCGAUUGUGAAUUGAAACUUACUUUCAAUUCUCCCUUUAG
rnacentral:lncRNA from 1 species